rnacentral:rRNA from 1 species
ACAGGUGCUGCAUGGCUGUCGUCAGCUCGUGUCGUGAGAUGUUCGGUUAAGUCCGCUAACGAGCGCAACCCUUUGCUGUGUGUUACAUGUGUCACACGGGACUGCCGGUCUUAAACCGGAGGAAGUGGGGAUGACGUCAAGUCAGCAUGGCCUUUAUGUCCUGGGCUACACACACGCUACAAUGGCCGGUACAAUAGGUUGCGAAGCCGCGAGGCGGAGCCAAUCCUCAAAGCCGGCCUCAGUUCAGAUUGCAGGCUGCAACCCGCCUGCAUGAAGAUGGAGUUGCUAGUAACCGCAGGUCAGCUAUACUGCGGUGAAUACGUUCCUCGGGCUU